rnacentral:lncRNA from 1 species
CCUCCGUUUGGUUCGGGGUUAAGAAAAAAGUAGCUAUUCCAGGGAUAGAGUUAAGUUCACGGUUAAAGUGGGGUUAAAGUUUUUUUGUGUUUGGUUGGGGGUUGGAGUUAGUCUAGAAUAAUGAAAAAUAGUGUUUGGUUGGAGUAGGUGGGAUAAAAGGAUAAUGAUUGAUAAAGAAGGAUAAUGAUUGGUUGGAGUAGGUGUGAUAAGAAAGAUAGUGGGUUAUUAUGAAUAGAAAAUAGUGUUUGGUUGGAGUUUGGUAGGGUUAGGUUGGGUUAGCUAACCCGGGAUAAUUUAUUUGAGGUGGGGUUAGCUAACCCCACCCAUUUUUUGGGGUGUUUGGGGAUAAUAUGGGGGUUAAGGGGUUAUUCCACCCCUUAACCCCCAAUCAAACAAGGGC